rnacentral:sRNA from 2 species
CGUCACCGAUCCGACCGCCUGCCCACUCCCGGGACAUGGCACCAAUCCGAUUGCCAGUGGCUCGCCGAAUGU